rnacentral:rRNA from 1 species
GAAAGGAGUGCUAAUACCGGAUGUGAUCAUCUUGCCGCAUGGCAGGAUGAAGAAAGAUGGCCUCUACAAGUAAGCUAUCGCUAAAGGAUGGGCCUGCGUCUGAUUAGCUAGUUGGUAGUGUAACGGACUACCAAGGCGAUGAUCAGUAGCCGGUCUGAGAGGAUGAACGGCCACAUUGGGACUGAGACACGGCCCAAACUCCUACGGGAGGCAGCAGUGGGGAAUCUUCCGCAAUGGACGAAAGUCUGACGGAGCAACGCCGCGUGAGUGAUGAAGGAUUUCGGUCUGUAAAGCUCUGUUGUUUAUGACGAACGUGCAGUGUGUGAACAAUGCAUUGCAAUGACGGUAGUAAACGAGGAAGCCACGGCUAACUACGUGCCAGCAGCCGCGGUAAUACGUAGGUGGCGAGCGUUGUCCGGAAUUAUUGGGCGUAAAGAGCAUGUAGGCGGCUUAAUAAGUCGAGCGUGAAAAUGCGGGGCUCAACCCCGUAUGGCGCUGGAAACUGUUAGGCUUGAGUGCAGGAGAGGAAAGGGGAAUUCCCAGUGUAGCGGUGAAAUGCGUAGAUAUUGGGAGGAACACCAGUGGCGAAGGCGCCUUUCUGGACUGUGUCUGACGCUGAGAUGCGAAAGCCAGGGUAGCGAACGGGAUUAGAUACCCCGGUAGUCCUGGCCGUAAACGAUGGGUACUGGGUGUAGGAGGUAUCGACCCCUUCUGUG